rnacentral:rRNA from 1 species
AAGGUUAGCUAAUCCUGGUCGGACAUCAGGAGGUUAGUGCAAUGGCAUAAGCUAGCUUGACUGCGAGCGUGACGGCGCGAGCAGGUGCGAAAGCAGGUCAUAGUGAUCCGGUGGUUCUGAAUGGAAGGGCCAUCGCUCAACGGAUAAAAGGUACUCCGGGGAUAACAGGCUGAUACCGCCCAAGAGUUCAUAUCGACGGCGGUGUUUGGCACCUCGAUGUCGGCUCAUCACAUCCUGGGGCUGAAGUAGGUCCCAAGGGUAUGGCUGUUCGCCAUUUAAAGUGGUACGCGAGCUGGGUUUAGAACGUCGUGAGACAGUUCGGUCCCUAUCUGCCGUGGGCGCUGGAGAAUUGAGGGGGGCUGCUCCUAGUACGAGAGGACCGGAGUGGACGCAUCACUGGUGUUCGGGUUGUCAUGCCAAUGGCACUGCCCGGUAGCUAAAUGCGGAAGAGAUAAGUGCUGAAAGCAUCUAAGCACGAAACUUGCCCCGAGAUGAGUUCUCCCUGAGACUUUAAGUCUCCUGAAGGAACGUU